UACGUAGGUGGCAAGCGUUGUCCGGAUUUACUGGGUGUAAAGGGCGUGUAGCCGGGCUGACAAGUCAGAUGUGAAAUCCGGGGGCUCAACCCCCGAACUGCAUUUGAAACUGUUGGUCUUGAGUAUCGGAGAGGCAGGCGGAAUUCCUAGUGUAGCGGCGAAAUGCGUAGAUAUUAGGAGGAACACCAGUGGCGAAGGCGGCCUGCUGGACGACAACUGACGGUGAGGCGCGAAAGCGUGGGGAGCAAACAGG
rnacentral:rRNA from 1 species